UACGUAGGGGGCAAGCGUUGUCCGGAAUCAUUGGGCGUAAAGAGCGUGUAGGCGGCCAGAAAAGUCCGCUGUGAAAACUCGAGGCUCAACUUCGAGCUGUCGGUGGAAACUUUCUGGCUAGAGUCCGGAAGAGGCGAGUGGAAUUCCUGGUGUAGCGGUGAAAUGCGCAGAUAUCAGGAGGAACACCAAUGGCGAAGGCAGCUCGCUGGGACGGUACUGACGCUGAGACGCGAAAGCGUGGGGAGCAAACAGG
rnacentral:rRNA from 1 species